AAACAAACCACCUCAGUUGUCCCAGAUGGCUCAGCUCAGGACUUAAGAUGAAUUCCUUCAGCCAUGCAAAUCACAGUAUAUUACCCAGCUGAAAAAAUCAGGCACGUCAUUUCAUUUAAUUAUUUCCGAGGAGUGGAGGCUGGCAUGCAGUUUUGAUUGAUACUUGGAAAAGGACCAACAAAACCCUACACGAAAUAAACAAACAAAAUUCUAGUGUAUGGCAAUGCGCUAAGAGAAGCAAGGUGGAAACUGGUUAGGUCACAGGAUUGGAGCUGCCUCCUGGAGGGACACGUGAUCGUGUGGUGGAGGUGUGGUAAUGGAGGGCUGGUGGUUCUUUUCCCUCUGAGAACAGGUCUGCACCAUUGCUUCUGCCUCACCUCAUCUUUUUCAGCAAUAAUAAAGGAUGUAGAAUGGUCCCUGGUAUACUUUCAUCAUUUACUGAAUGCCUACUGUUGCAGUUACGAGUUCCGCUUUCCCUGAUCCAUCGGUGACUUGCAAACAGCCUCUGCUCAGGAGAAGCUUCAAGAAAUCAAUUGACAAAGUUCAUUGAUUUCCAGUUUGUGAAAUAAACAGGAGGGCCUCCGAACUACUCGCCUCAUGGGAAUGGCUGUGAAGGUUCAUAAACUAUAACUUUAACAUCUGAGAAUUUGCCAAACUUGACAGAAUGCCUUUUCCAGAAUUUGCCUCCCUGCCUCCAUUGGUUUGCCUCCCACUUCUCAGGUGUAUCUUUGUCAGCCUGCUUCCCGUCUUCUACGCAACUUGAAACGCGGCGCGUCCCAGGACUUCGGAUGUGGGACUUUCUUCCUGAUCCACAAUCUUUCCUUAGGCCCCCUGCUUUAAAUUCCACCCAAAUAUUGAUGACAAGCCCAUUGUAUAUCCAGACUCCUAAACCCAGCUGUCUCCUUGAUCUUGCCACUUGUUUGGGACACGGACUCACAUGGGAGAGGGACAGGUGUGGGGCGGGGUGGGGCGGUGGGAUGGUCACCGCCCUCUGAGCAGUGAGCCAUGAAUAAUAUAUAGCCAUUUGCACAGUGAGAGCUGAGAGCACCAUUUGGAACAGAAGGACCGGCAAACUGGCAAACGUACAUGUCUUUCUUUCAUCCCGCUUAGUAACUAGUCGCUUGUUUAUUGUCUGUGU